ACUUGUGCAUGUGAAAAUAUUGUAUAAAGUAUUCAGGAUGAUCUCUAAUAAAUCAAAAAGAAAAGAGACACAUCUCAACAUAGAUACUUUUUGGGGUGUGGGGUGGGGAUGGCGGACAAUCUGGCUUCUAGAACAAGGGGGGUAGUGACUUCCACACUCUUCACAGGUUGACUCCAUUCCCACUUUUCUGCAAUUUAACAUCAAGGCCGAGAACCGCAUUUCUGAAACCACAUUAUAUGUUUUAAAAUAGGGGUAAUUAUAAUGCUAAUAUCAAUUGAGUUGGGAGUAAAAAAAAAAUCACAUUUCUAUUCAUAUAUUUGUAUUAGGUUCAAAUCCUGCAUUCUAACAUUCAAGACAGCCUUCACGCAUGCCCAAAUUGGGAUUAUUUCAAAAUCAAGUAAAAGUCCAUAGUUAUUCCAAAGUCACUAAAAUAUGCUAAUAAAGUUAAAUUUGAUGUUUUUUUUUUACAUUAAAAAUAAAACAUUUGGUUUACGUUUCAGAUAUCUAUAAAUAAAUAGUGGGCAGUAUAGUAAUAUAAUAAAGUUUUGUGAUACCCUGAAAUUUGAUGAGUUUUCUUAAAAAAAUCCAUAAUAUACUUCAUUUCAACCUUAAAGCACAAUAUCCAUGAACAAAUCUGUGAAAUAAAACAAUAUAAACACAAAUGCUACAGUAUUUUCUCUUUUUUUACUUUUGUGGAAACUACAUGUCCUUUUUAGUAAAAGUGAGAGAAAUUUACAGAAAAUAUAUAACAAACAAAACAGUUUCAAACCAUCAACUUGAGAUGUCAAUUGCCUGUUUCCUUCCGGUUGCGGGGUCCUCCCCGCCCAUUGCGUGGGCGGUGCGCUUGGGCAGGGUCAUGGCUCUGGGUCCUCGUCUCUCUUCUUUGCCUAUGCACAGCAGCAAUUACAGACAUGGCUGAAAUCGCAGUGGAUUCCAGAGAAAGCCAGAAUUAAACACGAUAAAAAAUUUUAAAAAUAACUACUUCAUAAAUAUUUAUUAUUUACAGUGAGGGGAUUCUCCUUAGUAUCAAGAGUUUUAUACAAGUCGAUGGGAUGCACACGCAGCAGGGGGACUCCAGCAGUUCACACAGUGGGAUGGGAAUGCAACCAAGGUAUAAAAUAGGCCAAUGAAGACAAUCUGCACAGGGGUGGACAGGACAUGAUAGAAACCCUUUUCUUAAAAAAUAUAAGGUAUCUCACAAAAGCCUGAACAUUUUACACGUUAGUAAUAAAAGUCGGGUGAGGUGGGGAGCUUCAUAUACUCUCAUCACAAAAAUAUUCCCAGUGCUGUGACUGGAGCGUUCUUUCCUUCUGAUUACCUCCCCGUGGAGGGAGUGGGCUUGCCAACUGUAGCUACCGAUGCGCCCUUCCAUCAGUCAAGGCAUUUGGACAUUACCUUCUUAUCUAAUACCAUGACGAAAGGUUCUGGAGAGAAGAAAGGAAAUCGAGAGGGCAGAUGUGUGGCGUCUUUAUUAAUACUUGUCACUGGUAAUAGGCAGAUGGAGGUGCCAGCCCUCGGGCCAGCCCUCCACUGGAGUUUUCUUCAGCAACAUGCUGCGGGAGCUCAGGCCCAUGUGUUUCAGAGGGAGCAUCCAGAGGGGUGCCAUGUUCUUGUCCUUGCUCCUCUGGGAUGCGCUGCAAGUCCACAGGGCCCGGGGGAGACAGGAUGGCAGAACCAGCCCAGCCCCGACCCGGCGCAGGGCAGCAGUCCUGCCCACGCUGAUGUCAGUGCGCACGGUGCUUCCUCUUCUUGUGCUUCUUGUCUUUCUUUAUCUUGUUGGCACACUUCGGGCAGAACCACUGCAUCUCUUCUGGAGGAGCAGCCAUGAUUCCCACACAGGGCCUACACACCAAAACAAGCGCACAUUAGCACGUUUCUUUCUUUCUUUUUUUUUUUUAAAAAGAUUUAUUUAUUUUAUUUCUAUGAGCACACUGUCUCUGUCUUCAGACACACCAGAAGAGGGCAUCGGAUCCCAUUACAGAUGGUUUUGAGCCACCAUGUGGUGGCUGGGAAUUGACCUCUAGAAGAGCAGACAGUAUUCCUAACCUCUGAGCAAUCUCUCCAGUCCAGUAAGUUUCUUAUGUUUAUAAUUUUCUUUUUCUGAGGCAGGGUCUGCAAGCUGUAUGCUUCCUAAAAAAAGCUCCAUUAGACUGUCGUCAAGAGAGGAGCUGAGUCCGUCUAAGAUGCUAGCUGGGGAGGACACCUGCUCCAGCUCGACCUGCGUUGCUGUCUGACACUCGGGGGUGGGGGCACUCACCAGUGGUACCAAUCGUCACAGUCGUCACAGCCAAUCAUCGGGCUCCCGUCAUCAGGCUUGUUGCACCCUGGACAGAUCCAGAUCUGAUUGCCCCACUCAUCACGGAUCUGGUGGUAAAGUGCAGAGCAGAAACAGAUGGUGUGGGGGGAAAGAAGCAGGUAUAGAAAAGGCUCAAACCAACAUAAACAAGUGCAAUUUGACAUCAUUUACGUGGCCGAACAAGAACUUUGUAACGUAAGAGUCUGCAGUCAACAGCUUGAAAAGACAAUGGAGAUGCUUCCCCAUCUGCCAAGCAUCACCUGUGAGAGUCAACACUACAGAAGCUGCCCUCCGUAAAAUGCUGUGGAAAUCUGGGUCACUCACUCCUCCCUGAUGACUUCAGAUGUGUCACCUCGACUUCUGGGAUGAAAUUGGAAAAGUGCUGUGUCACUUCCGAGUGGCUUCUCUUGAGCCACUGGAGUUUUCUUUGCUUCAGAGGAACCCCUUUCUCCCUGGAAGUCAUCAAGCCCUAAAACCUGCAGGUGUUUUUAUAUUUAAUUCGGAUGAGCAUGCUGCGUCCCCCCCCCCCCAAUCUGGUAUUUAAACACUUGGUCCCUAGUUGGUGACAGUUUGGGGAGAAUUAUGUGGUACAGCCAUUACCAGGGCUCGACCUUGACAUUACAGUCUCAUCCUCUGUCUACUUCAUGCUUGUAGCGAAAGAUGUGAUCACUCGGCUUCCUGCUCCAGCCAUCGCACCUGCUACCUGUGACCAUGCCUCUCCACCAUAACUGAGCACCCCCUCUGGAACUGUAAGCCCCCCAAAUCUCUUCUAUACAAUGCUGUGGUUACAGUCCUGCUUGAUCACAGCAAACACUAAGUAACUAUCACAGAGGCUGGCAGAGGCAGUGGGCGCUUGUCUCACACUUCCGUCACUCUGCUACUCUUUUGAGGACCGUGGAAGACUUGAGAAGUCUAUUCCAGAACAGUGGUCAGAUGCUCUAAGCAUCACUGAGUAAGCUGCUCUGACAGAAGCCUGGAAACCAGCAACGCUGAGACGGCACAGACUACGAAGGCCAGCGUGAGGGGCUAAGAAGGAAUCAAUACUAGCAGCCCCACGAGAAGCCAGUCAGUCACGUGAUGUUUUGGUCAAGGAUUUGGUUGCUUUCUGUCCACAUCUUGAGAACUUGCCUGAGGCUACAUUUAAAAUUAACGGGUUAAUUUCUUUGGUGGGGAUUAUUAUUUCUUUUUUGUUGUUGUUGUUAAGAUUUAUUUAUUUAUUACAUGUAAGUACACUGUAGCUGUCUUCAGACACACCAGAAGAGGGCACCAGAUCUUGUUACGGAUGGUUGUGAGCCACCAUGUGGUUGCUGGGAAUUGAACUCAGGAUCUUCUGAAGAGCAGUCAGUGCUUUUAACCACUGAGCCACCUCUCCAGCCCCCGGGAUUAUUAUUUCUUCUUCCUUCCUUCCUCCUCCUCUUCCUUCUUGUUUCUCCUCCUCCUAUUUGUAUAUGUUUUGUUUUUUAGAGGCAGGGUACAACCCUGUACAACCCUAGUUGUCCUGGAACUCACUAUGUUGAUCAGGUUGGCUUUGAACUCAGAGACCUACCUGCCUCUGCCUCCUGAGAGCUGGGAUUAAAGGCUAGAGAAGGAAAUUUUAAAGCAACAAAAUAUGUGGUGUGGCUGUUAUUGAUAACACUCUGCAGUCUCCAGCAAAAAGCACAAGUAGGCCAAAUGCAAAUCAGCAAGUUUAGGAGAAAAGCACACUGGCCGAGGCUGGCUGCAGGAGGCUGUAAUUGUUUAAGAGAGAGAUUGGGGCAUUAAGAAAAAGCCUGCUCUGCAGUGGAACAAAGGGAAGUGUCCCCUCAGGGCCAGACUCUACCCACCCAAGCUUCCAACCUCAGGCUCUUUAAACUGCCCCUAGAAAGCAAUUACAAACAAACUUUGCUGGGUGGUGGCUGAGGUGGGGGGUGUAGACAGGUCCCUCCCUUUCUGCUGGAUAUGAAGACAUGCAUGCUGCAAAAGUGAGGGGUGGUGGAUUUCAGACAGCUAUCAAGCCAGACAGUACGUGGCAGAUAGGCCCGGAGUGAAGGCCCUGAGAAGCCUCACUGAGUGAAGCUGAGUGAAGUCUGGGUUGCAGUGGCAACCUAAGAUGGCGGAUCUGCCAAGGAGGAAUUGUAUGGAACUGACAGAAGAUACCAGUCUAUGCAUGUAAGAAACACAUGCAUUCCAGGUCAAUAAGAAGAAAAGCACAGCCCAAGCAUGCGCUAACAAAACUGUACAACAGAGAGAAGCCUGAGCAGCAGCUAGAGGAAAAAGAACAGCCACCUCACAGGAGAAACAGUGCAGCCGACUCAGGAGCUCAGCAAAGCAGAAGACAAACAUGCCAAAGAAAAAUAAAUUCCAGGUUUGAAAUCCUGCACAAAGAAUGCCAAAUAAAUACACUUUAGUCAAAUAAAAUGUAAGAGUUUACUACCUGCAGGCUUGUACAGAAAGAA
rnacentral:lncRNA from 1 species